rnacentral:rRNA from 1 species
GAGGAGCCUGCGGCGGAUUAGCUAGUUGGUAGGGUAACGGCUUACCAAGGCGACGAUCCGUAACCGGCCUGAGAGGGCGGUCGGUCACACUGACACUGACAUACGGGUCAGACUCCUACGGGAGGCAGCAGUCGGGAAUUUUGGGCAAUGGGCGAAAGCCUGACCCAGCAACGCCGCGUGAAGGAUGAAAUCCCUCGGGAUGUAAACUUCGCAAGAAUGGGAAGAAUGAGCGAGCGCUAAUACCGUUCGUGAUGACGGUACCAUUUGUAAGCUCCGGCUAACUCCGUGCCAGCAGCCGCGGUAAUACGGGGGGAGCAGGCGUUGUUCGGAUUUACUGGGCGUAAAGGGCGCGUAGGCGGCCAGCGCAAGUCAGUUGUGAAAUCUCCGGGCUUAACUCGGAAAGGUCAACUGAUACUGCGCGGCUAGAGUGCGGAAGGGGCAACUGGAAUUCUCGGUGUAGCGGUGAAAUGCGUAGAUAUCGAGAGG